GACGAACGCUGGCGGCGUGCUUAACACAUGCAAGUCGAACGGAAAGGCCCUGCUUUUGUGGGGUGCUCGAGUGGCGAACGGGUGAGUAACACGUGAGUAACCUGCCCUUGACUUUGGGAUAACUUCAGGAAACUGGGGCUAAUACCGGAUAGGAGCUCCUGCUGCAUGGUGGGGGUGGGAAAGUUUCGGCGGUUGGGGAUGGACUCGCGGCUUAUCAGCGUGUUGGUGGGGUAGUGGCUUACCAAGGCUUUGACGGGUAGCCGGCCUGAGAGGGUGACCGGCCACAUUGGGACUGAGAUACGGCCCAGACUCCUACGGGAGGCAGCAGUGGGGAAUAUUGCACAAUGGGCGGAAGCCUGAUGCAGCAACGCCGCGUGCGGGAUGACGGCCUCCGGGUUGUAAACCGCUUUCGCCUGUGACGAAGCGUGAGUGACGGUAAUGGGUAAAGAAGCACCGGCUAACUACGUG
rnacentral:rRNA from 1 species